CAUGUCCUUUUGAAUAUAAUUUAAGGUCUAAUCUGCUCAGUGAAAGUUAAAUAGCCGCAGUAUUUUAACUGUGCAAAGGUAGCAUAAUAAAUAGUUUUUUAAUUGAAAGCUGGAAUGAAUGAUUGGACAAGAAAAUGACUGUCUCUUUAUGAAUUGUUUUUGAAUUUAAUUUUUAAGUUAAAAAGCUUAAAUUUUUUUAAAAGACGAGAAGACCCUAUAGAGUUUUAUUUAUUAGAAUAAGUUUAGAAUUAGUUAUUAUUAAUAAAUUUUGUUGGGGUGAUAGAAAGAUUUGAUUAACUCUUUAAAUUAAGAUCAUUGAUUUGUGAAUUUUAAAUCUAUAUUUUUAAAUUUAAAUUAAAUUACCUUAGGGAUAACAGCGUAAUUUUUCUUUAAAGUUCUUAUUAAAAGAGAAGUUUGCGACCUCGAUGUUGGAUUAAAAUUAAUUUUUGGUGAAGAAGCUAAAAUAUUAAGUCUGUUCGACUUUUAAAAUUUUACAUGAUCUGAGU
rnacentral:rRNA from 1 species